CGUUGUCCCUUGGACGUAGGGUCCCCGUCUCUCCUCCCAGCCCUGGUUGCUGGGGGUCAAGUCAACUCUCUUGUCCCUGGGGGAGCUUCCAAAGAGCUGUGGCGGCCACUCCUCUUGGUGCAGCUUGGCGGGUCCCUCUAUUUCUCUUCCCUGAGUCUCCAGUCCUUAAUAUUUGCUCCUUACUCUUUCCUUGGUUCAUCCUUCCUUCUCGUGUGUGUGUGUUCGCAUAUGUGUGCCCAUUCUAAGCCUGCUCCUCUUUCCCCAUAGUAUGCUUGGACCUUUCUCCUAACGGACCCCUCAGGUCCAGAGCCACGGUGGAGCCUGGUCCUUGGGAGCGAGGACUUGCCCUCUGGCAGGAGCCCUCCAUGGGUUUUACCACGGCUGCCUGCAGCUGUGUUCCUAUAACUCGCCGCUCUACUUUGGGAUGGGCACCAGGCUCACCGUGACAGAGAAUCUGGAAAAGGUCAAACCUCCCAUGGUCACAGUGUUUGAGCCAUCGGAAGCAGAGACCUCCCGAACCCAGAAGGCCACACUCGUGUGCCUGGCCACCGGCUUCUACCCCGACCACGUGGAGCUGAGCUGGUGGGUGAAUGGGAAGGAGGUCCAGAAUGGGGUCAGCACGGACCCUCAGCCCUACAAGGAGCGGCUGGAUGGGAAUGACUCCAGCUACUGUCUGAGCAGCCGGCUGAGGGUGUCCUCUGCCUUCUGGCACAACCCUCGUAACCACUUUCGCUGCCAAGUCCAGUUCCACGGGCUCGGGGACGAUGACGAGUGGCCCAGCGACAAAGGGACCAAACCCGUCACCCAGAUCGUCAGUGCCGAGGCCUGGGGCAGGGCAGACUGUGGCUUCACUUCGGUGUCCUAUCAGCAGGGCAUCCUGUCUGCCACCAUCCUCUAUGAGAUCCUGCUGGGGAAGGCCACUCUGUAUGCUGUGCUGGUCAGUGCCCUGGUGCUGAUGGCCAAGGUCAAGAGAAAGGGUUCCUGAAACCACCUCAGAGGCAGAGGUGGGAGCUUCCUGCUUGCUAUUCCCCAAUACGGAUUCUCCUUUUUCUCCUUCUAGCCAGUGCUUCUCAAGAGCUGUUUUCAUCUCUCCGCUCACCCCAAUAGUUACCCACUAUGUUCCUGAACACCUGGACACUGAUGACCCAAACCUCCCUAACCCAGGGGGACCCCUAGUGUGACUAAAUUGACUAUUGACUGAAUCAAUAAAAAUGAUGUGUUCUGGCUUGAC